AAGUUUGGUCUCCAGAAAGUGUGUUAUACUUUCGUUUUAUCUGCAGCCAUUUGUUUUCUAUAUUUUUACUCACUAUUACCUGAAUCUCUGCUCUUUUGAUAAUAAACUUAGUUUUGUUUUCACUAUAAAUUAAUGUAAGUGUUGCGAUAUUAAGCAAAGUGAUGGUCCUGAAUUGAAUCUUAGAAGCUGAUGCAUACCGUUUCUUUGGGAACAGAAGGUGUGGUAAUUCUGUGAGUGCUCAGUAGAGAAGAGGCUGGACACUGCGGGGCAUGCUCUGAAGACUUGCCGGGUGGGUUUGCCUAUCGCUACCUGCACUGAGAGAAUGAGGCCUGUGGGGGGCCUGGAAGACAGUGCUUGUGCUGUCAGAAACUGGUGGUUCAGGGAGCUGCUCCACAACAGGCACAGACUCGACUUCACAGGAAGGGUAGGUAGUGGAGAGAUGCCUCACAACAGUGGGCACCCCUAAGGACUGUCAUAAUGGUAGCCUCCAGUGGCAGUUGGGGACGACAGUCUGAUACUUUCCCAAAUUUUUAGGUCUGGUAGGAAAACCCUAUCCCUCUCGUGCACCUUCCCAGGGUCUAUGAGGAGGAUAUAUAGCUAUAGGCUGCCUAGGGCAACUGUAGACUGCCUAAGUGCAGUUUCAUAAUACUCAGCACACUCUUGCCUGAAAGAGUACCCUCUGGUGGGUUUGUAAUAUGUUUUGCUAUUUGAUUCUUUAACUCUGAUUUGCAAUGUUGGUCUUCCUCCCUAAAGAGGAAGAAUUCCCUUUGUGUGGGUAUGUGUAUGCAGAUGUACAGGAAUCAUCCCAUGUCAAUGGCCUGAGCUUUUUGGCACUGAUCUGCCCUGCAGGACUCUGUGAACAUGAGUAAGAGAACCUGGCAGUUAGGAUUAUCUGCCCUGCUGCACUUUGUGAAGGCAUGCUGCUAUGGAAAUCCCAUUGUAACAAGUCUGCGGAUCUUAGCAUGAAGAAGAAUAAGAAAAUUUAACUGUGCUUACCUGAACAUUUCCCUUCUUCAAGUAAUAAGUUCCACAGAUGCUGCCUACCCUGGAGACAAGCAGAUAAUACAGAAUGGAGAUGGAAAUUUAUAUACAAGUCUGUAAUUUAAGAAAAUAGAUUUGAAUAAUCCUGGAUAUGAAAGUUAUCUCAACUGGAGGGAAAUUCAGGAGGUGAGGCAUUUCCUUGCUUCCAGUGAGUGACAGGUCUGGUUCUCCCCACAAGCUGCAAGUGUAACGCUGGUAGACCCCAGUCGCUGGACGGCAGGAUUGAACUGGAGUUUAGUGCAUGAGCUUCUACCGCAUAAGCUAAAAGACAACUGGCUUUUAGCUAAUGCUGUAGAGCAGACUCAUUUUCUCUCUCUCUCUCAAAGUGGCCUCGGUGCCACUAGAUGGGACAGAAUACCACACCCAGGAGGUGUGUGGGUUACACAAGCAGGCCAAAAUAUUUGUUGUAAUAGAUCUGUGGACCUUAUUAGCCAACGAACAGAAAUUUUCAGGUAAUCAUGGAUACACUUUCCCUAUUGAUUCUCUUGAUCAGAGAUGUCUGACUGUCCACAGAGCCAGGUAGGCCUCCCCUGCAACAGGAGCCAGGAGAGAGCCAGUGCUUGUGGCCACUAGGGACUUACUCCAGUCAAAAGGAAGAGCUGUUGGCUUCCUAAUAAGGGAUGCAAGCCCUUUGCACUGAUCUCCAAUGCCACCACCCAGUGAUGUGCAGGUGGCAAUGGGGACAGGCAGAGGAUGAUGCUGUGGGUCCCUAAUCACAAAUUCGCACACAAGUGGUGUGGCAGUGAUGGUCAUUCAGCAUUGACUUGGAGUGAUAUCAGCAUCCAUAUCCUGCUUGUGCAACAGAGCAAUGCUCUUCAGAGACAUCACUGCUCUGCCCAACCCAGGGAAGGGCGAGAAAAGGAUUCCUAAACAUUGUUAACACCAUUAUUGAUUUGCUAGUGUCUCACAACUAGCUGGUAAUCCAAUUGUGUGGUUAAAAAUCAGCAUCACCCACAAAACACUGAACUCUGCAUCCUGGAAUGUCACACUUUCUGAUGAUGCUGGUGGGCUCGAAAGGUGCACUGCUCUCAUCAGAAUCAAACUUGUCAAAUACAACACUACGUACAGCUGCACUGAAUGAAACAUGUUUCCCAGGCAAGUCCCAUCUUGUUGAGGUCAGUGCUUGAUACAUGUUCUACUGGAUGCAUCUAUAGGGUGAGCUUAACUAUUGGGACAUCUAUCUCACAUUUAGUCUGGCUGUAGUGUUGCCUGAUACACGGAUAGCGUGUUGGGGCUUGGAUUCCCCGGUGACGCAGUGGUGGAAUAUUCCGCCACUGUUAGGGCCCUGAGUUGGGGCCUGGUGGAGUCGGGUGGGCCCAGGCCUCUCCUGAGAAUCUGAAUUACAACUUAUUAGAGUUUCAGAACUCUAGAUGAUAAAAACUUCUCCAUCUGUCUUUGAAAUAUUAUUGACUCCUGAUUUAUUCCAAUAUAUUAUUGAGAUUUAGAGUUCUGAUACUUGUGUUCUGCUAUUGGUCAGAAAUACCUUGAAUAAAUGUCUCAUCUGCUUAUA